rnacentral:lncRNA from 1 species
NNNNNNNNNNNNNNNNNGAGAGAGAGAGAGAGAGAGUGCAUUGGAACCAGGGGAGGGGCAGAGAAGCAGACUCCCUGCUGAGCCAGGACCCUGACAAGGACUCAGUCCCAGGACUGUGGGAUCAUGGCCUGAGCAGAAGGCAGCUGCUUAACCAACUAAGCCACCCAAGGUACCGUUAAUCCUGAAUUCUAAGCCACCUUGGGGAAUCAUUAAUUUUUCCAGGGUAUCUCCCUGUAUAUAUGAGGUAUAUAUAUUAAUAAACUUCUGUUUGUUUUCCUCUUGUUAUUCUGUGCUUUAUUGCAGGAGUCUCAGCCAACUCAGAAGGAUAGAGAGAAAAUUUUGAGGAUGGGAUCGCUGAAACCCUGCCCUGAUGAAAUACUGGGAAAACUGGCAGAAGGAGAGAAAGGUGGGAGGAGCUGGAGAGAGAGAGAGAGACAUACCCAAGUAGACUCCCUGCUGAGCGGAGAGCCCAACACACCAGGCUGGAUUCCGUGACCCUGAGAUCAGGACCCAAACUGAAAUCGAGUCUGAUGAUCAACUGACUGAGCCACCCAGGUGCCCCAGGAAAAAAAUAAUUUAAAAAAGAAGUUUAAUACUGUCAGAAAUAGUUAUUGUUUGUUCCAGCUGAUAAUA